GAUGAACGCUGGCGGCGCGCCUAACACAUGCAAGUCGAACGGAGCUGUUUUCUCUGAAGUUUUCGGAUGGAAGAGAGUUCAGCUUAGUGGCGAACGGGUGAGUAACACGUGAGCAACCUGCCUUUCAGUGGGGGACAACAUUUGGAAACGAAUGCUAAUACCGCAUAAGACCACAGUGUCGCAUGGCACAGGGGUCAAAGGAUUUAUCCGCUGAAAGAUGGGCUCGCGUCCGAUUAGCUAGAUGGUGAGGUAACGGCCCACCAUGGCGACGAUCGGUAGCCGGACUGAGAGGUUGAACGGCCACAUUGGGACUGAGACACGGCCCAGACUCCUACGGGAGGCAGCAGUGGGGAAUAUUGCACAAUGGGGGAAACCCUGAUGCAGCGACGCCGCGUGGAGGAAGAAGGUCUUCGGAUUGUAAACUCCUGUCCCAGGGGACGAUAAUGACGGUACCCUGGGAGGAAGCACCGGCUAACUACGUGCCAGCAGCCGCGGUAAAACGUAGGGUGCAAGCGUUGUCCGGAAUUACUGGGUGUAAAGGGAGCGCAGGCGGAUUGGCAAGUUGGGAGUGAAAUCUAUGGGCUCAACCCAUAAAUUGCUUUCAAAACUGUCAGUCUUGAGUGGUGUAGAGGUAGGCGGAAUUCCCGGUGUAGCGGUGGAAUGCGUAGAUAUCGGGAGGAACACCAGUGGCGAAGGCGGCCUACUGGGCACUAACUGACGCUGAGGCUCGAAAGCA
rnacentral:rRNA from 1 species